rnacentral:rRNA from 1 species
UACGUAGGGGGCGAGCGUUGUCCGGAUUUAUUGGGCGUAAAGAGCUCGUAGGCGGCUUGGCAAGUCGGGUGUGAAACCUCCAGGCUCAACCUGGAGACGCCACUCGAGACUGCUAUGGCUAGAGUCCGGUAGGGGACCACGGAAUUCCUGGUGUAGCGGUGAAAUGCGCAGAUAUCAGGAGGAACACCAGUGGCGAAGGCGGCUCACUGGCCCGGUACUGACGCUGAGGUGCGAAAGCGUGGGGAGCAAACAGG